rnacentral:rRNA from 1 species
GUAGGGAAUAUUGGGCAAUGGAUGCAAGUCUGACCCAGCCAUCCCGCGUGCCGGAAGAAGGCCCUCAGGGUUGUAAACGGCUUUUGACGGUGAAGAAUCGACAGGAUGCGUCCUGUUUUGACGGUAGCCGUUGAAUAAGCACCGGCUAACUCCGUGCCAGCAGCCGCGGUAAUACGGAGGGUGCGAGCGUUGUCCGGAUUUAUUGGGCUUAAAGGGUGCGUAGGCUGGAAAGUCAGUCAGCGGUGAAAAGCUGUCGCUUAACGAUAGUCUUGCCGCAGAUACUUCCUUUCUUGGAUGAGGAGGAGGCCACUGGAACGGAUGGUGUAGCGGUGAAAUGCAUAGAUAUCAUCCAGAACACCGAUUGCGAAGGCAGGUGGCUGUACCUUAAUCGACGCUGAUGCACGAAAGCAUGGGGAGCAAACAGGAUUAGAAACCCGGGUAGUCC